rnacentral:rRNA from 1 species
AGUGAACGCUGGCGGUAGGCCUAACACAUGCAAGUCGAACGGCAGCACAGUAAGAGCUUGCUCUUACGGGUGGCGAGUGGCGGACGGGUGAGGAAUACAUCGGAAUCUACUUUUUCGUGGGGGAUAACGUAGGGAAACUUACGCUAAUACCGCAUACGACCUACGGGUGAAAGCAGGGGAUCUUCGGACCUUGCGCGAUUGAAUGAGCCGAUUUCGGAUUAGCUAGUUGGCGGGGUAAAGGCCCACCAAGGCGACGAUCCGUAGCUGGUCUGAGAGGAUGAUCAGCCAAACUGGAACUGAGACACGGUCCAGACUCCUACGGGAGGCAGCAGUGGGGAAUAUUGGACAAUGGGCGCAAGCAUGAUACAGCAAUACCGCGUGGGUGAAGAAGGCCUUCGGGUUGUAAAGCCCUUUUGUUGGGAAAGAAAGGCAGCGGGUUAAUACCCCGCUGUUCUGACGGUACCCAAAGAAUAAGCACCGGCUAACUUCGUG